GGUUUGAUCCUGCCCGAGGUCAUUGCUAUCGGGGUUCGAUUUAGCCAUGCUAGUCGUGCGGGUUCAGACCCGCGGCGUAUAGCUCAGUAACACGUGGCCAAACUACCCACCAGACAGGAACAACCUCGGGAAACUGAGGCUAACACCUGAUACGCGUUACGCGGAUGAACACGGUAACGCUCAAACGCUCCGGCGCUGGUGGAUGUGGCUGCGGCCGAUUAGGUAGACGGUGGGGUAACGGCCCACCGUGCCGAUAAUCGGUACGGGUUGUGAGAGCAAGAGCCCGGAGACGGAAUCUGAGACAAGAUUCCGGGCCCUACGGGGCGCAGCAGGCGCGAAACCUUUACACUGCACGCCAGUGCGAUAAGGGAACCCCGAGUGAAAGGGCAUAUCGCCCUUUCUUUUCUGAACCGUAGGGAGGUUCAGGAACAAGAGCUGGGGCAAGACCGGUGCCAGCCGCCGCGGUAAUACCGGCAGCUCAAGUGAUGACCGAUUUUAUUGGGCCUAAAGCGUCCGUAGCUGGCCAUGCAAGUCCAUCGGGAAAUCCACCCGCUUAACGGGUGGGCGUCCGGUGGAAACUGCAUGGCUUGGGACAGGAAGGCUCGAGGGGUACGUUCGGGGUAGGAGUGAAAUCCCGUAAUCCUGAACGGACCGCCGAUGGCGAAAGCACCUCGAGAGGACUGAUCCGACAGUGAGGGACGAAAGCUGGGGUCUCGAACCGGAUUAGAUACCCGGGUAGUCCCAGCCGUAAACGAUGUCCGUUAGGUGUGUCACUCACUACGAGUGAGUGAUGUGCCGCAGGGAAGCCGCUAAACGGACCGCCUGGGAAGUACGUCUGCAAGGAUGAAACUUAAAGGAAUUGGCGGGGGAGCACUACAACCGGAGGAGCCUGCGGUUUAAUUGGACUCAACGCCGGUAACCUUACCAGCCCCGACUACAGUGAUGACGGCCAGGUUGAUGACCUCGCCACGACGCUGUAGAGAGGUGGUGCAUGGCCGCCGUCAGCUCGUACCGUGAGGCGUCCUGUUAAGUCAGGCAACGAGCGAGACCCA
rnacentral:rRNA from 1 species